CCCCUAGAUGUUCUGGGCCGCACGCGCGCUACACUGAACAGUUCAACAAGUCUUAACCUUGGCCGAUAGGUCUGGGUAAUCUUUGAACGCUGUUCGUGAUUGGGAUAGACCUUUGCAAUUAUGGGUCUUCAACGAGGAAUUCCUAGUAAACGCAAGUCAUCAGCUUGCAUUGAUUACGUCCCUGCCCUUUGUGCACACCGCCCGUCGCACCUACCGAUUGAAUGGUCCGGUGAAAUCUCGGGACGGCGGCUUGGUCGCUUGCGUCCGACUGCUGAAACUUGAUUAAACCAUAUCAUUUAGAGGAAGGUGAAGUCGUANCA
rnacentral:rRNA from 1 species